UGAGAGGAUGAUCAGCCACACUGGAACUGAGACACGGUCCAGACUCCUACGGGAGGCAGCAGUGGGGAAUAUUGGACAAUGGGCGCAAGCCUGAUCCAGCUAUGCCGCGUGAGUGAGGAAGGCCUUAGGGUUGUAAAACUCUUUCAGUGGGGAAGAUAAUGACGGUACCCACAGAAGAAGUCCCGGCAAACUCGGGAUCCCGACCAUGGAA
rnacentral:rRNA from 1 species